UACGAAGGGGGCUAGCGUUGCUCGGAAUCACUGGGCGUAAAGCGCACGUAGGCGGACUCUUAAGUCGGUGGUGAAAUCCUGGAGCUCAACUCCAGAACUGCCUUCGAUACUGGGAGUCUCGAGUCCGGGAGAGGUGAGUGGAACUGCGAGUGUAGAGGUGAAAUUCGUAGAUAUUCGGAGGAACACCAGUGGCGAAGGCGGCUCACUGGUCCAUUACUGACGCUGAGGUGCGAAAGCGUGGGGAGCAAACAGG
rnacentral:rRNA from 1 species